GACGAACGCUGGCGGCGUGCCUAAUACAUGCAAGUCGAGCGGAAUGAUGAAGAAGCUUGCUUCUUUUGAUUUUAGCGGCGGACGGGUGAGUAACACGUGGGCAACCUACCUUGUAGAUUGGGAUAACUCCGGGAAACCGGGGCUAAUACCGAAUAAUCCAUUUUGCUUCAUGGCGAGAUGUUGAAAGACGGUUUCGGCUGUCACUAUAAGAUGGGCCCGCGGCGCAUUAGCUAGUUGGUAGGGUAAUGGCCUACCAAGGCGACGAUGCGUAGCCGACCUGAGAGGGUGAUCGGCCACACUGGGACUGAGACACGGCCCAGACUCCUACGGGAGGCAGCAGUAGGGAAUCUUCCACAAUGGACGAAAGUCUGAUGGAGCAACGCCGCGUGAGUGAAGAAGGUUUUCGGAUCGUAAAACUCUGUUGUAAGGGAAGAACACGUACGAGAGUAACUGCUCGUACCUUGACGGUACCUUAUUAGAAAGCCACGGCUAACUACGUG
rnacentral:rRNA from 1 species